AGAGCUCUGAGAUUUUGAGAAGGCUAUGUCCCAAGGGGAGGUGCUGUGCAGAGGUGGAAUUCUGCACAUUUUUUCAUCUCUGCAUCAUUUGGGAACAGACUGAAUGCUACUGGUCACAGCUGUCUGGGACCAACUUCUGCUGCAACUUGUGCAAAAUGGCCAUUUAUAAUGUGUGAAUCCUCUUACCUCAGUGGAUCCAGUGAAAGCAAUUUUAUCAAUGCCAACGUGAGAGGCUAUGGCUGCACCAACAAUUGGACCAAAUCCUGGCAAAAUAUUGACAACUCCUGGUGGAAAGCCAGCCUGUCAAAAUAGGAAUGAAUGAAGGUUAUCUUUCACAGAUGCUAGCAGCGGUUCACAGACUAUGGGAAGAUUCAUCAGAUCCGACAGAAGCAAAGUAGAAGUCAAAAUACAGAGAAGUACAUACAAGCAAAACUGUCUAAGUGCUCAAGGGAACACAGAGGAGUCAGCUAAAAAUACCAGCUUGUACUCAGUAGUACUGUGAGAGGUGGGUUCUCAGCCAGAAGGAUGGUGGCAACAUAACAGUAACACAGUUACAUUAGCACUGUCUGACUUUAGAUUGUCACUGCAUAAUCACUGCCACAUGUCUGCGUGCUUCAUCACACAGAGUUAUAGAUAACCUGAGCCUCUUGCCAAGGCAGACAAAUGGUGGUUAAUUCUGCCCAGCGUAGGCAGAACGUUCUUUCCGCUGAGCGGUGCCUCCCAUGCAGAGCUGCUCUCCCUGCUGUCUCCCACUAGGCUCUAGACAGCUGCCCUUUUUGACACCUACUUCCAAAGUUCAUCAUCCACAGAUUUUCUGUCAGGAUGGGAUUUUUGAGGUUGCUUUCUAACAAUAUCUUUGGAACAUAUGUGACUUGAAGUUAUUCAGAAGCCUUGGACGUCUCUGGACAGGCCAAAGGUGGAUCUAAGAGCCACCCUGUCCACGAUGUAGAACAAGCUGUUACCAUGACAAAAUAGCUCAAGAAUUAAAUGAGCUUAAUUUCAUUAUUCUAUACAGUGAGCAUAGAAAGGUCCCUUGUGCUUAGAAAUUAUACAGGAGACCUUUUAAAUGUUUGAGACUUUUGAGUCAUGCUAAUGACCCUUAUUCUAAGAUGCUGUGGCUGAUGAUUGUUACUCUGAUCCUUUACUAGCUGGCUGCCAGAAGAACAUUGCCUGAGAGGGACCUGACACUGAUCCCACAUCCAAUCUAAAAUUUUGUGUUAUAAGGGUAUUUUUAAUAUACGCAGCUGAAGUAAACUGACAUUCUUCAGUCCUCACUGAUAUUAAUAGAGCAAGAUCAAUUUGCAGCUGCUUAGCACCUGGCCCAAAGACUUUCAUUUUUUAAUCAGAAAACAAGUCCCAUUUAUCCAGGGAUCUCACUUUGGGACAGCAAUAUCUUCCACAGAUGUGUUUGCUUAGAUUUCCAUCAGGAGUCUCCAGCACAGAUAUUUUAUUUGCAUAACAACCAUAAUACAGUCCCAUGCCUCAUAUAGCAGGACACAGCAAACAAGUGGGUGAGGAGAGCUGAACUGGUUCUUUAAACUAUAUCAUAGCAUAUAUUGCUUUAAAGAUACAUUUCUGCUUGCAUUCAGUUUAUUAGUUUAACAGUUUCUGGUCUAGCCUCAUUCUGUUUUAAUUUAAAUCAUCAAGGCUUUACGCUUGGGAGCAAGCAAAGGGCAGUCUGAAGGUUUUGUAGCUCUGGGGCCAAAAGGAAUGUGACUGUAAAACACACUUCUUCUUCCACUUGUCUAUCAAUUGCCUAUUUUUAUUCUAAAGGAAAAGAAAUCUUCAACAAAAACAGCAACAACAAAAGAUUGGGAGGUUUCAGAUUUAUUAGCACACUGAAUAGAAAGACAAGAUUUAAUAGUGGGGUUUUUUUGGUUUUGUUGUUUUGCUUAUCUUUGGUGAGCUGAUGGUAAAUGAACGUAAAGAGCACUGCUGUUUAACAGUGGCUUUGCCCUAAAACAGCUUCAUGAGAAUGACAAAUUUAUGGUGCAAAAGCAGAGGAAUAAAGAGAAGUGUUAAAUGAAGAAUCGAUCCCCUGGAAAUCUGUGAAUGGACUUAUGAUUCUACACUACUGAAAAUGUGUUAGCACAAAGUCUGCACUGAGGAAGGCAUGCUGAAAAUGUGCUUUCCUUUCACCCAGCAUAGUCCAUCUUACUGAAAAAAAAUCAGGUUUUAUCCUAUAAGGUACUGUAACCAAGAAUAAGCAGUGAAUAUUUAUUCUCCUUAAUCUGGCAGUGCCUUUUGGUGGCUGACCUAAUUUCUGUGUACCUGUGGGGCUAAAGAGUGAGAAGGAGGCAUUCACUGACCAGGGAGAAAGAGAUUAGGGAACAGGAAAUUUGCUGAAUACAUGAAUUUAUGGUGUGGUCUGCACUUUUGUAUGAUUAAAUGUGAAGUGCAAGCAGCAAAACUGGGACUUACGAAUCUCAGCCUAAAUAACUGUGGAAAACUUUGACUCCUUGCAGCAAUGUCUACACCUGAAAUAUUAUUAUUGUAAUUUCUUUGAUGAAAAUAAGAUAGCGAAGAUAAACACCAGUCCCUGCAUGCUGCAAUUUUAAUAAGAUGAAACACAAAGAUGAGUAAAACUGCAAGAAGAGUUACGUGAUGUUUCCCUCCUGAAAAUUUUGGAGGCAUAUUUUCAAUUUAUCUGCUUGCCUCACUUGGGUAGUUUGGUGCUGUGCUAUAGAGAGGCAGGUGAGUGCAUUGCAGAUACUGUGUCCCACAGUGAAACACCAGGGAAAUAGCUGGGCAACAGCAUGGGCAUGUAGGCCUGAGUGUGCCCUGCUGGCCCUGCUGGGUACAGUGGAGUAAACAUGCAUGUGCAAUGAACAUGUGCACCAAGAAUCCACAUAAUGAAUAUAUGUUUUCCUUAACCUUAAUGUUUUUCCAGAGAUUUCCUUUAUGCAGGUGAAAGAUGAGUCCACUUAUCUUAAUGACUGCACCUACAUAAAAUCAUUUUCUCCUAUUUUGCCAUGUUGUGUAAUUAUAGCAUUUGGUACAUCUAUCCCAGACUGCAAAUGAAUUUGUUUGCAUCAGCAAAUGCAGCCUGUAUAUGUUCAACAGCUGGGAGUGAGGGGCAGGAGGAAGAAACUUGUUAAAUAAAAAUAACGGUAAGGAUUUUUUCGCAUCUCUUUAGCAAAAGAGUAAGAACAUAAUAAUUUCCUAGCAUGCGGGAAAGUUUAUCUCAUAUAUACAAUAUAAAACUCAUCCCACUGAAUAAUCUGAAAAAGCAUCUAUAACAAAAUAUAUCUCAUAUGUCUGUAGUUCUCUACAGUAACAUUAAGAACGCUCUCAAAGUAUAAAUUUAGAUCCAGUGUUAGUCCAACAUAAAAUUAUUUGCAUCAGCAGUAAGAAGUCAUAUACAAACAAGAUCUAUACAUAAUGAUACUCUUUCUUAAGCAGGCACCCAGCACUACUUUCAUGAGUUCCAAGGUAUUUUUCAGGCUUAUACCUCAUCCAUUUUUAUACAUGUAUCAAUAUUUAAAUGUAGGUAUUGAGCUAUCUCCUUCUCAGGUGGAUGCAUGCAAAAGAAACCAAGCCCUCCUCACAUGUGCAUGUGGGGCACACCAAGAGCAGGGCACCCAGUCCUGCCCUUGCUGACUUUCUAACAUCUGCUUCAGCAACACAGUAGGAGCAACCCAGGCUCCUCCUCUGCCUUCCACAAAGCUGUGAGCUACUAUGCUUUAGUCUGGCCAUGAGAAGCUUUAGAUGCAUAGCUGUGCUUUAAUUCCCCUUACCUAC